GUGAAUCAUCGAAUUUUUGAACGCAAAUUGCGCUCUCUGGUAUUCCGGAGAGUAUGCCUGUUUGAGGGUCAGUUUAAAUAAAAAUCGAUGGUGUUGCGGCCUUUCGUGGUGACGCGCCGGGUUGGGGUCGGCUUACUUUCUGUUAAGUGAGCUAAAAUUUGAGAUUGAUUUUUCCGACGUAGUGGAAUGAUUUGACGUACGUUUGCGAUAUCGAAUACUAGGUUCGGUGUUCCUCAU
rnacentral:misc_RNA from 1 species